UGUCCCUGAGAGCAGACAAUAAUGGAAUUGAAAGCAGUUAUUUGCCCUACUUUAAUAAAGAAAAGAAGAAUUCAGCAUACAAUAGAUUCUUUUACCAAUGUGCCCCCUGGAAAAGGCUACUGGACACAAAUAUUAGCAUUAACAUAUGUGUACUUUAAUUUAGGACAAGUGAGUCAGAGAGGGAUUGUGACAUAGUGUAGAUUGCUGACACUUGUUGGAAGGAUACCUUUCAGUUACCUACAAUUCUACCAACUGGAAAAAUCAGUACUAAUGCCACUUGUGUUACUGGACUAUUA